rnacentral:ncRNA from 1 species
AUAAGCGCGAUGAGGAAGAUAAAGUACUCUUAAUGAUAUCUUUUCAGAGAGACUGUGGCCGGUGUGAACAGUCAGGACCAUUAGGAGGAAUUGGGACUUCUUAGCUUCGUUAAGACGUAAAUCGGCGUUAACGAUCUAAAGCAGACUUUUCUCAGGAAAAGUAAUCAGGGUGGCACCGCGGAAUCAUUCGUCCCUUCC